ensembl:lncRNA LINC01304 long intergenic non-protein coding RNA 1304
CCCACAACUGCCUCACAAGCAUCCCAGAGUCCAGUCAGCAGACAGCAGAAGAGACUGUCAGCAGACCACCUUGGAGGGGAUGCUUGGAGCUGCCUAACGUGUGAUUCAAAGAUGAAUUCCAUGUGUUUGGAGAAGAAGCCCUAGCCUCAACACAAAGGUUGGCCACAUUCCAGCCAAGGUAGCACGGAGUGAAGGCCCGUGGAGGGAGAGCUGGGCUUUUCUGAACUACUUCAGUACACCUUGCUGUGCCUUGGCCUGCCGUGUUUCAUCCCCAUGGCUGUCCUCAGUGAUGUGCAUGGUCACUGCUCCCUUCACCACUGAGAAGACGGGCACAGGACAGUCAGGGGAUGUGUCCAAGGUCCCACAGCAGGAAGGGCUGGAGCCAGAAUGUGGUCUGAGAGGCUGGAUAUACAAAGAGACAAUGGCAUGACCAUCUGUACAAAUGGAACUAUGGCCCACAACCUGCAGCAGCCAGCCCAGGAAGCCAACCCGUCACCUGCAGCAGCCAGGAUGGAUGCUGGCCUGCCCUCAGUAAGUUACGCCUGUGGGAAGUCAGGCCCCUAUCUCUAGCCCCAAUCUAGGAAUCAAGCAACCCAUAAGAGUCAGUCCCAGAUGCCCAAGACCUGGUUAAUAACUCACAGCUGCCCCAACUCCUGCCCUGACAUCCCACUGAGGACAAACCAAGAAAGACAAAUGUGCUCCCCUUAAACGCACACGGGAUGCCCCGAUUCUAGUUGCCGCCCCAGCUUCCAGGCCAGCAGCCUCCACUGGGGCUCACCGGGUACCUUCCCUUGCCCUGGAAAGCUCCCACGCCCACACCGGGUGCCUUCUCUUCCCCUGGGAAGCUCCCACACCCAGCCUGCCUGAGUCGCUGCAAAAAUGUAAGUGACAGUGGCCAGCUCUUUCGCUCUUACUCCAGCUGGAGAUAAGCAGCCUCUGUCUGUCCUCGUUUGGGCACCUUGCUCCUUCCCAGGAGUCUGAGAGACUCUCCUGCCCCACAGUGUGGGCUCCACCACCCUCCUGCCUGCUGUGGGAAAUCAGGAGGGUGAAGGUGAAGCUGGACUUGGCCCAGAGGUGCCCACAGGGACGCCCAGAGCUGCACAAGCUCCCUCCAUCUUGCCUCUGGGACCAGCUCUGCAUUGCUCCAAAGCCCUCAUCAGUGUCUGCUUUCUGUUGCAAUAACUGAAUACCUGAGAUUGGACAAUUUAUAAAGAAAAAAAUUAUAUCUGACAAU